CGUGUAGGCGGUUUUGACAGUCAGAUGUGAAAUCCCCGGGCUUAACCUGGGAGCUGCAUUUGAGACGUUAAGACUAGAGUGUGAGAGAGGGUUGUGGAAUUCCCAGUGUAGAGGUGAAAUUCGUAGAUAUUGGGAAGAACACCGGUGGCGAAGGCGGCAACCUGGCUCAUUACUGACGCUGAGGCGCGAAAGCGUGGGGAGCAAACA
rnacentral:rRNA from 1 species